rnacentral:rRNA from 1 species
CCUACGGGAGGCAGCAGUAGGGAAUCUUACACAAUGGGCGAAAGCCUGAUGGAGCAACGCCGCGGGGGUGAAGAAGGGCUUCGGAUCGUAAACCGCUGUCAGCAGGGAAGAACGGUCACUGUGCUAAUCAGCAGUGAAUUGACGGUACCUGCAAAGGAAGCACCGGCUAACUCCGUGCCAGCAGCCGCGGUAAUACGGAGGGUGCGAGCGUUAAUCGGAAUUACUGGGCGUAAAGCGCUCGUAGGCGGUAUGUCAAGUCAAGGGUGAAAUCCCCGCGCUCAACGUGGGAACUGCCUUUGAAACUGGCAAACUGGAGUGUGUGAGAGGCUAGUGGAAUUCCAGGUGUAGGGGUGAAAUCCGUAGAUAUCUGGAGGAACAUCAGUGGCGAAGGCGACUCUCUGGCACAUAACUGACGCUGAGGAGCGAAAGCGUGGGUAGCAAACAGGAUUAGAUACCCCGGUAGUC